rnacentral:rRNA from 1 species
AUUGAACGCUGGCGGCAAGCCUAACACAUGCAAGUCGAACGAGUGGCAGACGGGUGCGUAAUGUCUGGGAAACUGCCUGAUGGAGGGGGAUAACUACUGGAAACGGUAGCUAAUACCGCAUACUAUCGGAUGUGCCCAGAUGGGAUUAGCUAGUAGGUGGGGUAAAGGCUAACCUAGGCGACGAUCCCUAGCUGGUCUGAGAGGAUGACCAGCCAAACUGGAAAUGAGGCACGGUCCAGACUCCUACGGGAGGCAGCAGUGGGGAAUAUUGCACAAUGGGCGCAAGCCUGAUGCAGCCAUGCCGCGUGUAUGAAGAAGGCCUUCGGGUUGUAAAGUACUUUCAGCGGGGAGGCGUUACCCGCAGAAGAAGCACCGGCUAACUCCGUGCCAACAGCCGCGGUAAUUC